UAGUCAAGAACGAAAGUUAGAGGUUCGAAGGCGAUUAGAUACCGCCCUAGUUCUAACCAUAAACGAUGCUGACUAGCAAUCCGUCUCGAUUCAUGUAUUGACGAGACGGGCAGCUUCUGGGAAACCAAAGUCUUUGAGUUCCGGGGGAAGUAUGGUUGCAAAGCUGAAACUUAAAGGAAUUGACGGAAGGGCACCACAAGGAGUGGAGCCUGCGGCUUAAUUUGACUCAACACGGGGAACCUUACCAGGCCCGGACACCGGAAGGAUUGACAGAUUGAGAGUUCUUUCUUGAUUCGGUGGGUGGUGGUGCAUGGCCGUUCUUAGUUGGUGGAGCGAUUUGUCUGGUUAAAUCCGAUAACGAACGAGGCUCUUACCGACUAAUUAGUCGGAGGACGAGUCCUCUGAAGCUUCUUAGAGGGACAAGCGGUAUAUAGCCGCACGAGAAAGAGCAAUAACAGGUCUGUGAUGCCCUUAGAUGUUCUGGGCCGCACGCGUGCUACACUGAAGGGAUCAACGUGUUUUCCUUCUCCGAGAGGAGCAGGCAACCGUCGAAACCCCUUCGUGUCUGGGCUAGGGGACUUGAAAUUAUGCCCCUUAAACGAGGAAUUCCUAGUAAGCGCGAGUGAUUAUCUCGCGUUGACUACGUCCCUGCCCUUUGUACACACCGCCCGUCGCUACUACCGAUUGAAU
rnacentral:rRNA from 1 species